rnacentral:rRNA from 1 species
GACGAACGCUGGCGGCGUGCUUUAUACAUGCAAGUCGAACGAUGAAGUUCCUUCGGGAAUGGAUUAGUGGCGAACGGGUGAGGAACACGUGAGAAACCUGCCUUUCAUUCUGGGAUAACACCGGGAAACCGGUGCUAAUACCGGAUACUCCGUCUUGGCGGCAUCGCCGAGCCGGGAAAAAAUUUUGAUGAAAGAUGGUCUCGCGGCCUAUCAGCUAGUUGGUGAGGUAAAGGCUCACCAAGGCAACGACGGGUAGCCGGCCUGAGAGGGCGACCGGCCACACUGGGACUGAGACACGGCCCAGACUCCUACGGGAGGCAGCAGUAGGGAAUAUUGGGCAAUGGGCGCAAGCCUGACCCAGCGACGCCGCGUGAGGGAUGAAGGUCUUCGGAUUGUAAACCUCUUUCAGUAGGGAAGAAGCGAAAGUGACGGUACCUAAAGAAGAAGCACCGGCUAACUAUGUGCCAGCCGCCGCAGUAA